AGAGGGUCCAGAGAAAGGUGGGGAUUCCCUAACCCCUUCUUUCUUGGCACAGACAGGCAGAGAACACCUCUUUUCUCACCCCUGGGCAGCCCCAGGAAGUCAAUCCUUCCACUAUUCCUGCUCCGUGCCUCUCUUCCCUCUGCCCAGAUUCCUGGGAGACUCAAAACCCUGUUCAACUCUCUCUGGGCUAGCUGCUCCCCUCCCCAAGAGGAUUUCUCUCCAGAGCUGGUAUCAUCGCUUAAUGAUGUUCCACCAACAAGGGGAAGGGUCCCCACCAGAUACAUACAUAUGGCUAUUGAGCACUUGAAAUGUGUGUAGUCUGAAAUGAUCUGUGCUGUGGCAUCUGUGCUGUGCCUGUCAUUCAUUGAGAACAGUUUGUUUUCUGCUUAUGGAAUCACAAAAAUAUUUAAUCUGAAGCUUCAGUGGUGCAGCCGUCCUUGAGGCUGCAGACCAUAGGAUCCUUCCUUCUCUGUCUGGAUGCACUGGAGGGCCAGCAUUCUCGGAGGUGGCCAGGGUCCUCUGAGAAGCCAGCGCCCAAGUGGUACCUGAGUCCAGUGAACGGCAAGUUUCUUUUCUGGGAGCUGCUAUCACUGAAUACAUAAAGAAAUUGAGCCUAUAUGAUUUCAAUCUUCACCUUCUGAUGCUGAUGAAACAGGAUUCUAUGCAGGAACUCCUUUUCAUACAUCAAAACUGAGCUUAUCACCUCUACCCUGAAGUCAUCCUGGACAUCACUGGUCCCAGUUAAUCACUCACUUAUCUUUGCCAUCCUUGACCUGGCUGGAGUGAGCCCUUGAGCUGACCCAGAAGUUCUGAGCAUUUAUCACCCAGUAUUGAUGACCAUGUAUUUUGCCUCCUCUCUUUAUGCCUAAAGAUGAAGGAAGAAAUACAAGCUCAUGUUACAAAGAGUAUUUCCUGGGUUUAUCAGCUCUCCCCCUCUCAGCUUGAGCUCUGAAUGAUUUCUUAGUUCUCAGCUUUUCUUCCUCUGAUCAAAGUGCCUGAGGCAGUGAGCACUGGGAGGGCAGGAGCAUUUCUGGCUGAGCCCAAUGCUCACCUCUUCUGGGCCGUUUUAGGAAGCUGUGGCCCAGUGUUCUCUGGUCAGACAAGCAUGGCCUGGCUGUGGAAGGGUCUCCAAAGGCUCAUGGGUCCCAGGUGCCCUGGAUUUUGAAGGCAGCUGCCCUGCCUCCACUGGGAGAAGAUUAAAGCCCCCUUUGCCUUUCUUCGUCCCUCCCUUUCCCACUCUGUUCACUCAAUCACUCUUUUCUCUCCAAUGAAUUAAAUGCAGAAAAUCCAUGAGCAGGAUUUCUCUCUUCAAAGGACCAAAUAACCUUCUUUCUAUUCCCCCUAAAUUUUUUUCCAAACUGCAAAAAGAAAACAUGCAAACAGACUUCAAGUUAAAGGUGAGAGAAAGAAAGAAAAAUUGAAGCAAAGUAAUUUUAACUUGAGAAGUAGAGCAGUUUAAACCCAGAAAAAAAAUGUACACUCCGCAAUAUAGUCCUUUCCUACAAAUUAAUUAACCCAAAGUACUUGUUUAAUUAGUGUGAGGGGUAGGGAAUUGAGUAGCUAACAAUAUCUCUCACCCAGUUUAGAAUUAUGUUCACAAAAGAAUUUCUUCUUCUUUUCCUGAAAGGGAAGAGAACGUUGCCCUCAUUGGUCUGGAAUCAGCAGGUACCUCAUGGCUGGAGGUGUAUUUUCAGGUGGGUUGGGACUUUGAAGAGGUGGCUUUUCCUAUGGACCCCUCUGACUCCCCACCUGUGGGCAUGACACAGGUGACCUGGCUGCCAGGGCAGAGGCUGCUUAGCCCUGCUCCAGAGAAACAGAGCUCUGAGGGCUUCCAGAAACCAGGGCUCCUGGCUCCUCAGUCCUUCCCACUCCUCUCUUCCUACUCCCGUGCUGCAUAUAAACUUUUCUUUUUUUUUCAGAUGGAGUCUCACUCUGUCACUCAGGCUGGAGUGCAGUGGUGCGAUCUCAGCUUACUGCAACCUCCGCCUCCCGGGUUCAAGUGAUUCUCCUGCCUCAGCUUCCCCAGUAGCAGGGACUACAGGACCACAGGUUACAGGCAUGAGCCACUGCACUUGGCCUGCAUAUAAACUUUUUGAGUUUCCUGCUUUUGACAUGAGCAUGGAUAUUUAUCACUUCUAGAGGCAUUAGGAGAACUCAAGUCCAAGUGCUCAGAGACCUACAGUGCAGCUUAAGACCCUGUCACAGGAAUCUUCGGGGUGGGGGCAUGCACGGGAGUUAUAGAGAGUUGGGGAAGGAUGAGUUCUCAACCAAUGCUUUCCUUUUUUCCACAGACUCCUUUGGCAUCUGGUGAGGCCUGUGGAUUCAUUCUCAGAAUCACAUUUUUAAAUGCACAUAAUAAAAUACAUAGAAUUGCAAAGGAAGUUAAUUAUAUUGAAAUACAGUUAUCAAAAAUAUAAAUAAAACAAGUAUGUGGUACAGUCAUAUGUGUGCUUCUUUAUUAAGUCAUUACAAAGCAAGAUCUAUUUGGAGGUCUAAUAACUGUCAUAUGCUUGAAAAAAUCCUUAACAAUCAUAAUAUAUUAAAAAAUCUGAUUUCUACUUUGGCAAAUCAUAGAUAUUGCUGAAACUGUGGUUUAUUGCCUGCAUUCAUAAUUGAAGGAAAUGCUAGAGUUCAGUGAGAAGGUUGUGAAAAUAAAGAGAGCCUUUUUUUCUCAUCAAG
rnacentral:lncRNA from 10 species